rnacentral:rRNA from 1 species
CCUACGGGUGGCAGCAGUGGGGAAUAUUGCGCAAUGGGCGAAAGCCUGACGCAGCGACGCCGCGUGAGGGAUGAAGGUCUUCGGAUCGGAAACCUCUGUCAGCAGGGAAGAACGGUCACUGUGCUAAUCAGCAGUGAAUUGACGGUACCUGCAAAGGAAGCACCGGCUAACUCCGUGCCAGCAGCCGCGGUAAUACGGAGGGUGCGAGCUUUAAUCGGAUUUACUGGGCGUAAAGCGCUCGUAGGCGGUAUGUCAAGUCAAGGGUGAAAUCCCCGCGCUCAACGUGGGAACUGCCUUUGAAACUGGCAAACUUGAGUGUAUGAGAGGCAGGUGGAAUUCGAGGUGUAGGGGUGAAAUGCGUAGAUAUCUGGAGGAACAUCGGUUGCGAAGGCGACUAUCUGGCACAUAACUGACGCUGAGGAGCGAAAGCGUGGGUAGCAAACAGGAUUAGAUACCCGAGUAGUC